rnacentral:tRNA from 1 species
AUUUCUUUAGUAUAAACAAUAUCGAUGACUUCCAAUCAUCUUAUCUUGGUUCGACCCCAAGAAGAAAUA